rnacentral:rRNA from 1 species
AACGAACGCUGGCGGCAGGCCUAACACAUGCAAGUCGGACGCACCGCAAGGUGAGUGGCGCACGGGUGAGUAACACGUGGGAAUGUACCCUUUGGUUCGGAAUAACGUUUGGAAACGAACGCUAAUACCGGAUGAGCCCUGCGGGGAAGAUUUAUCGCCAAAGGAGCAGCCCGCGUCUGAUUAGCUAGUUGGUGGGGUAAAGGCCUACCAAGGCGACGAUCAGUAGCUGGUCUGAGAGGAUGAUCAGCCACACUGGGACUGAGACACGGCCCAGACUCCUACGGGAGGCAGCAGUGGGGAAUAUUGGACAAUGGGCGCAAGCCUGAUCCAGCCAUGCCGCGUGAGUGAUGAAGGCCUUCGGGUUGUAAAGACUCUUUCGCACGCGACGAUGAUGACGGUAGCGUGAGAAGAAGCCCGGCUAACUUCGUGCCAGCAGCCGCGGUAAU